CUGCACUGUUCGUAACCUGUUGCCUGUGUUCUCCACGCCUCGGGUUCCAUUCCAGUGCCACAUUAAACCCCACUGGAACGAAGGGUAGGUGGUGUACUGUAACCUGACCUUUUCCAGAGCUGGGAACAUAC
ensembl:snoRNA